GACACAGCCUACAACGUUCCUUGCUUCCAUGGGCCGCGGUUGACCCCGACAGGAGGCUGAAUAAUCCGUAAGGAGCAAAUUCGAUG
rfam:Erwinia sp. EM595 isolate E_g_EM595 genome assembly, chromosome: 1